UGGGAACGUACCCUUUGGUUCGGGACAACUCCGGGAAACUGGAGCUAAUACCGGAUAAGCCCUAUGGGGGAAAGAUUUAUCGCCGAAGGAUCGGCCCGCGUCGGAUUAGCUAGUUGGUGGGGUAAAAGCCUACCAAGGCGACGAUCCGUAGCUGGU
rnacentral:rRNA from 1 species